rnacentral:rRNA from 1 species
CACGCCCUAAACUAUGUCAACUAGUUGUUGGGGGAGUUAAAUCCCUUAGUAACGCAGCUAACGCGUGAAGUUGACCGCCUGGGGAGUACGGUCGCAAGAUUAAAACUCAAAGGAAUUGACGGGGGCCCGCACAAGCGGUGGAUGAUGUGGUUUAAUUCGAUGCAACGCGAAAAACCUUACCUACCCUUGACAUGUACGGAAGCCCGAUGAAAGUUGGGUGUGCCCGAAAGGGAGCCGUAACACAGGUGC